rnacentral:rRNA from 1 species
GACGAACGCUGGCGGCGUGCUUAACACAUGCAAGUCGAACGGGCUGAAGUGAUAGCUUGCUAUUAUGGAUGCUAGUGGCAAACGGGUGAGUAACGCGUAGGCAACCUGCCCUUCAGAUGGGGACAACACUUCGAAAGAGGUGCUAAUACCGAAUGACGUAUCCUUUCCGCAUGGAGAGGAUACCAAAGGCCGGGCAACCGGUCACUGAAGGAUGGGCCUGCGUCUGAUUAGCUGGUUGGUGGGUAACGGCGUCACCAAGGCGACGAUCAGUAGCCGGUCUGAGAGGAUGAACGGCCACAUUGGGACUGAGACACGGCCC